rnacentral:rRNA from 1 species
UAUCUCUGUAGAGUCUGCAUAUCAAUAAGCGGAGGAAAAGAAACUAACUAGGAUUCCCUCAGUAACGGCGAGUGAAGCGGGAAGAGCUCAAAUUUGAAAUCUUCAAGGUUUUACCUUGACGAAUUGUAGUUUAAAGAAGUGUUUUCUGUUGGAGUUUUGGUAAAAGUUCUUUGGAAUAGGACAUCAUAGAGGGUGAGAAUCCCGUAUUUGACCAUUAUUUCCAGCUUUGUGAUACACUUUCAAAGAGUCGGAUUGUUUGGGAAUGCAGUCCAAAAUGGGUGGUAAAUUUCAUCUAAAGCUAAAUAUUGGCGAGAGACCGAUAGCGAACAAGUACCGUGAGGGAAAGAUGAAAAGAACUUUGAAAAGAGAGUUAAACAGUACGUGAAAUUGUCAAAAGGGAAGCGUUUGACACCAGUGUUGUUUUCUCGAAAAUCAAUUAAAAAGUGUUGGAUUUUGUGUUGUAUUGACUUUAUCAGCUUUCUGCACUCUUUUCUUGUCUUUUUUAAUGCACUUUUCGUUUAACAAGUCAACAUCAAUUUCUUUUGUUGUAAAAGGGUCAUUGGAAGGUGGCUUUCUUUUCGGAGAAAGUGUUUAUAGCCUUUGGCCUCUGCAAUCGGAGAGAUUGAGGUCUGCAGCGUAGAUCCUUCGGGGUUAGAUACAUUUGUGCUAAGUUAUAGCCUUUCAUAGACAACUUGUUGACUAUGAUCAGUCAUGUAGCUUACUCGCUUAUGCUAUUUUACCUACGCUUAGGAUGUUGAGUCAUCACACAUCUCU